rnacentral:rRNA from 1 species
AACGCGAAGAACCUUACCUGACCUUGACAUCCCUCCGACAGACCCGUAAUGGGGUUUUACCUUCGGGACAGAGGAGGCAGGUGAUGCAUGGUUGUCGUCAGCUCGUGUCGUGAGAUGUUGGGUUAAGUCCCGCAACGAGCGCAACCCUUAUCCUUAGUAGCCAGCAGGUAGAGCUGGGCACUCUAGGGAGACUGCCGGGGAUAACCCGGAGGAAGGUGGGGAUGACGUCAAAUCAUCAUGCCCCUUAUGGCCAGGGCUACACACGUGCUACAAUGGCGUAAACAAAGGGAAGCGACCUCGUGAGAGUAAGCAAAUCCCAAAAAUAACGUCUCAGUUCGGAUUGUAGUCUGCAACUCGACUACAUGAAGCUGGAGUCGCUAGUAAUCGCGAAUCAGAAUGUCGCGGUGAAUACGUUCCCGGGUCUUGUACACACCG